AGCGAACGCUGGCGGCAGGCUUAACACAUGCAAGUCGAGCGGGCACUUUCGGGUGUCAGCGGCGGACGGGUGAGUAACGCGUGGGAACGUGCCCUCUGGUUCGGAAUAACUCAGGGAAACUUGAGCUAAUACCGGAUACGCCCUUUUGGGGAAAGGCUUGCUGCCGGAGGAUCGGCCCGCGUCUGAUUAGCUAGUUGGUGUGGUAACGGCUCACCAAGGCGACGAUCAGUAGCUGGUCUGAGAGGAUGAUCAGCCACACUGGGACUGAGACACGGCCCAGACUCCUACGGGAGGAAGCAGUGGGGAAUAUUGGACAAUGGGCGCAAGCCUGAUCCAGCCAUGCCGCGUGAGUGAUGAAGGCCUUAGGGUUGUAAAGCUCUUUUAUCCGGGACGAUAAUGACGGUACCGGAGGAAUAAGCCCCGGCUAACUUCGUG
rnacentral:rRNA from 1 species